CCUACGGGCGGCAGCAGUGAGGAAUAUUGGUCAAUGGGCGCGAGCCUGAACCAGCCAAGUAGCGUGAAGGAUGACUGCUCUACGGGUUGUAAACUUCUUUUAUAAAGGAAUAAAGUGAGGCAUGUGUGCCUCUUUGUAUGUACUUUAUGAAUAAGGAUCGGCUAACGCCGUGCCAGCAGCCGCGGUAAUCUGGAGGAUACGAGCGUUCUCCGGAUUUAUUGGGUUUAAAGGGAGCGUAGAUGGGUUGUUAAGUCAGUUGUGAAAGUUUGCGGCUCAACCGUAAAAUUGCAUUUGAUACUGGCAGCCUUGAGUACAGUUGAGGUAGGCGGAAUUCGUGGUGUAGCGGUGAAAUGCUUAGAUAUCACGAAGAACUCCGAUUGCGAAGGCAGCUUACUAAACUGCAACUGACAUUGAUGCUCGAAAGUGUGGGUAUCAAACAGGAUUAGAUACCCUUGUAGUC
rnacentral:rRNA from 1 species